CAUCAAAUGAAUGCAAAGUUUAUGUUAGUAGUAUCAUAUACUCUUGCUUGAAAAACCGUUUUAUAAGCAUAAUGGGAGUAUUAUAUACAACUAAAAACAAUCAAAUGGACCAAUAGUUGUAAUAGGACCAAAAUUGUUUUAAUAAGAUUAAAAUGAAAGUUUAUAUGUGAUGAGACCUAAAAACCCUCAACCAAACCAUUAUUAAGUUGAUAAGCGUGAGAGUGCUUUGAACACUCUUUUGUGGCCUUCCACCGUGGUAGGCUUCAAUCGUUUGUGAUUCAUACACCGUAUUCGUCCAGUUCUGGGGUUGCAAAGUAUGUGCUUACAUUCAGGAGAAGCCUAUAAACAUAUGAUGAAGUAAAGGUAGGCAACGAGUAUGGUCAAUAUGAUUUUCUUCUGAGGCCAUUCUUGAACCCCUACUUUAACUAGCAUGGUGGGAAUGACUUAACUAAGUGCAAUGUGCCAAUAUGAUAUUCUUCUGAGGCAUCAUUCUCUAGAGGCCAAACUAGAUGGGUACUUGCAAGAGAUGCAAAUGAGUAAGCGUACUCUCUCAUUAUUAUUGACGCUAGCCAAUAUGAUUUUCUUCUGAGGUGGGCUUGGUAAUGGUGAGUCUCCCAUACCCUACUAAGAGUUUCAUCCAAAACUCUCAAAUUCCAAUGAGGGAUAUGGAAUUUUCCAAAAAUAGUGGGUGGUGCUAUUUGAUUUAAAGACCCGGAUCAAAUGGCUUAAAAUCAAUCAAUUUAUAUUCGUUAUGUAUUUGUUUACCAAUAUAUUUGCAAACGCUAUCCAAAACUUGACAAAGAAAAGCCGAAUGCUUUAGUUUCCGGACUUGGUACAACUAUCCCAAAGAUUGUCUUAAAUGGAUUGUAUAUGUACCUAAGUAGUCUCAUCCUCACAAUCUUCCUAUUGAUAAUGUAUCAUUGGAAGAAAAUGUUAGAUAAGUCUAUCAUAAGGAGGACAACACUUUUAAUGUCAUAAUUCUUCACUUACAAAUCGUUGUAUGAAGAAAUAAGAGUUGCUUUGAACAACCCUUAGUCAAUGCAAACACUUAGUGCUUGUUUCUUUGUUACAUGAACAAGGAACUUGAGAAUAAGCACAAAGGCAUGGACACUUAAUGUGCCAUGAUUCUUCACUUACAAAUUGUUGUAUGAAGAAAUGAGAGUUGCCUUGUACAACUCUUGAAAGUUUGUAAUUAUGUUUAGAACAAAAUGGUUGGUUGACAAAAAUAGUCCAUCAACAUGGACUUAUGAUGAUUUUGAAUCAUUGAGUGUUGAAGUGUUAAAACACUUCAUGAGACGGAAACUAGGCUAGGACUUCACCUUUGAGUCCUUAUCCAAAUGGUUCACUAAGUUUAUUACAAACUAUAUAGUGAACAAUAAUCACAUGCUCUCCAAAUUGUUUGAUGUGUAUAACACAAUUGAAAUAAUUUUCAAGAGAGAUAGUGGGAGUUUAGGGACCAUGACUAUUGUAGUCAAAGGAGAAGUCAAAUGAAGAAAGCGAAAUAAACUCCAAGGGAACAAACUUUCUUUAUGAAAGGAUGGACAUUGGAAGGGGUAUUUGCAAGAAAUGUCUUGCAAAU
rnacentral:lncRNA from 1 species